CUUUAGUAAAAGUUUGUUACUCGAGCCGCAAAGGGAAGCUAAAGAAUUAGAAGGAAAAGGGUGAGAGACGUAAGAAAUUGCCGCCACUUACAGGGAGAGGGUUUUUUCGUCUGUGCUAGUCAACCCCACUAGACCCUUUUAACUUCG
rnacentral:sRNA from 12 species